GCUCUGCCCUGCAUAGGAGGUCUGGUCUGGUUCUAAUUCCGUGGGUGCUCUCUCGCGUAAUGUUGGAUACUCCCACAUAUGCAACAAGUAUUAUUAAGACGAUAACAGCGACUGGUUCCCAUGAUCCUUGCCACAGUGCUCGCAAGUCCUAUCGCGUCUUAUUACUGGAGAUUGAGGAGAAGCCUGAGUCACUGGUAUAAGCUUUUUGUUCUACUGAAUUGGUGCAGUAGGUGCUAAUUUAUGGUAUGAAACCGAGGGUCUGGGAUUCCCCACUGCUGGAGGAAUGAUGCGAAUGUUCCUUUCAACUAGCUAUGCCUUGGCCAGAACGGCUGAGUAGGUACUAAACUCAAAUACAUACAGUUAUUGUCUGAUCUCAGGGUGGAGGCCCCACUCGAAAUUCCUUGCCUUCCUGCCCUCAUCUAUCAUGCUCUC
rnacentral:lncRNA from 1 species